rnacentral:rRNA from 1 species
UACGUAGGAUGCGAGCGUUAUCCGGAAUUACUGGGUGUAAAGGGAGCGCAGGCGGGACUGCAAGUUGGAUGUGAAAUACCGCAGCUUAACUGCGGAGCUGCAUCCAAAACUGUAGUUCUUGAGUGGAGUAGAGGCAAGCGGAAUUCCGAGUGUAGCGGUGAAAUGCGUAGAUAUUCGGAGGAACACCAGUGGCGAAGGCGGCUUGCUGGGCUCUAACUGACGCUGAGGCUCGAAAGUGUGGGGAGCAA